rnacentral:rRNA from 1 species
CCUACGGGUGGCUGCAGUGAGGAAUAUUGGACAAUGGAGGCAACUCUGACCCAGCCAUGCCGCGUGAGUGAAGAAGGUUUUCGGAUUGUAAAGCUCUUUCGGAUGGGACGAUGAUGACGGUAACCUCUACAGGAGCCCCGGCUAACUUCGUGCCAGCAGCCGCGGUAAUACGAAGGGGGCAGGCGUUGUUCGGAAUUACUGGGCGUAAAGGGGGUGUAGGCGGUUUAGUAAGAUAGUGGUGAAAUCCCAGGGCUCAACUUUGGAAUUGCCAUUAUAACUGUUAGACUAGAAUUAAAGAGAGGAUAGCGGAAUACCCAGUGUAGAGGUGAAAUUCGUAGAUAUCGGGUAGAACACCAGUGGCGAAGGCGACUAUCUGGCUGGACAUUGACGCUGAGGCUCGAAAGCAUGGGGAUCAAACAGGAUUAGAUACCCUAGUAGUC